UGUGUGUGUGUGUGCGCAUGUGUGAAUCUGGGGUGACUUAUUAAGGUUACUACAGGACACGGAGUUUGACCCAUUACAGUGCCACUGGCUUUGAUACAGAGGAGGUGGAAGCAACUGAGCAAAUAACCAAAUAGUUAGCUCGUUGCGGGAACCGUUUAGUUUCCCUAUAAUUCAACCUCAAUAUUCUCGACCUUAAAGAACCUUGAGAUUACCAUUUCUUCAAAAAUACAGCAAAACUACAAAGUGCUAUAAGCUGCCAUCCCUUAUUCCUUCAGUGAAACAGGCAAAACCCGACUGAGUUAAAACUGGACGAUGAGCAGAGCAGAACGAGUGAGAAACAAUGGCGGCCUGUCAGAUGUUUGUAUCUCUCCUGGAGGCCAAUUAGGUGUCUUGCCGGCUGCGGGUCUCCUGCUGCUGUCGCUCUAUUUCGGGGCAGGAGGAUGUGCUGUGUAAGCACGUCUGCACUGUGGCGUUCGCUGGUUUGUUUUAACCCUGCAGUCUCCACGUGAGCCGGUUCCUUUCACAAACGGCUGCCAGUAUCAGGUGUCCCGAUGGGAGUCAGCAGACGUGGGUGAUUUGCAGACUCACCGCAGUAAAAGCAGUUUGAAUGUUUGCAUGUCUUAGCAGGGGUCAGUAACAAGUGUGUAUCAGAAUUAGAUCUUAACACCCCAUCUUACAGAUAUACACUUGGAGAUCAGUUGGAUUCCCUCAUGUAGAGGAAGACACGCUAACAAACAACAUAGGUAAAGUUCCAGAAGCCUUUUCAUGUGUAUAUGUGCACAACCGUCAUCAAAUAAUAAUUAUUCCCCUGUAGAGUUUUUCUUGCAGUUUUGGUGAUGCCUUGGUGACUCACCUGGUACUACACAUAUCAUUGAGUCCUGAAUCCCUGAGUCUGGAUCUGGGUCCAGGCCUGGCCCCCUGUUUCAUCCCACUUUAGCUCUGAUCAUAAAAGGAAAAUGCCCCGAAAAUAUAUUUCAAAAAAUCACCACCUUUAAUCCGUACUUUGCCAUGAAGCAAAGAAACAGCAUUCGAUCAUUUAAUUGGAUUUUUUUAACUUCACAGACUACAUUUAAGUUUUGAAUGGCCUCGUCACAAUAAAAUGAUCCACAGUGAUUCCACAAAUUCUUCAGCCACUCUUUGUGUUAGUUUUUAGAUUUAAUAGUAUGUGCAAUAUGAAACAUAAUAUAAUAAAACGAAAAUAAUAAAGACAAACGUUUUAGUUGGAGCUUUAUAGAGGUAGUCUUGUAAGUAUUAUUACUACCUGGGUCACUACAGAACAGAGAGUUGGCCAUCAAACUGCGUGAGAAACAGCAAAGCAAAUGACCCUGUUCGUCCAAAGAGUGCGAUUUGCAUAAUCAUGCAAAAUCUGUAUGUGACUAGCUGAGCGCUCUCUGUAUCCACAGCCUCCUCGGCUCCAGCUAUCGGCCCAGCGGUGUCAGUGGGUUAUGGAGUCAGUCUAUAUUUAGAGCGGGUCCAGCAAUGUUCCCCCUGUUCUGUCGCUGCUUUUCGAAUGCAGACUAAUCCACCCUGGCUCAGUCGUAACUGUGGCCGAGACCCAUUAGCCAGCGAGCACGACACACAGCACAUGCAGUGAAAAUACAUUAACGUCGUCAAAACCGGCCACUUCUGGUAUAAGUCGUCCUGCAGGGAUGCACAAAGGCUUAUGGGAAAUGUUUGUACUUUCAUUGCAAAGUCAAUCAGGCACAAUAAUCAACAAGGAGUCAGUCGUGUGGUGGUCAGACUUUAACAACAGAAGAAUUUAAUCUCAAGCAUAGAUCUCAAGUUUAAUCUCAAUGCUGUGGCAGUAUUGGUCUUAGAAAGUUGGAAACCUUAACCACUUUUUAUAAUAUUAGAGGACAGAAUAAAUAUUGUGUUCCUGUUUAUAUCUAAAAUAUUUUAUUAUUA